AUGCAGCUGCUAAGAGUCGCGUGGGCUCUGACCGGAGCGGCGAUCUGCUGCUUCCUCAUCCUCCUCAUCCACUCCCGCCUGCUCAAAGAAGGCCAGCUGGCAGCCGGGACAUGUGAGAUUGUGACGUUGGACAGGGACAGCAGCCAGCCACGACGGACCAUCGCCAGGCAGACGGCCCGCUGCGCCUGUAAGAAGGGCCAGAUCGCCGGAACUACAAGAGCCAGACCCGCCUGUGUGGAUGCUGGCAUUGUUCGAAAAAAGCAGUGGUGCGAGAUGGUUCCAUGUUUGGAGGAUGAAGGCUGUGACCUGUUAGUCAAUAAAUCUGGAUGGACUUGUACGCAGCCCGGAGGCCGAGUCAAAACCACCACGGCUCUAUGACGCGACAAGAGUUCCCCUCGACACUCUUGCACUAUGGAGAGCACUGACGACCCUUUGACAGACAGCCAAAAUCCACCAACCACCACCAACACAGCCGCUCCACCCAAACCCUGGUACCACAAAGCCAGGACACAAGCAGCUAUCGACCACCGAGAGCCCAACUGAGGCAGCAAGGUCUCAUAACAGCCAGAGAAGUCCAAACCGGGGA